rnacentral:rRNA from 1 species
UGGUGGAGUGAUUUGUCUGGUUAAUUCCGAUAACGAACGAGACCUUAACCUGCUAAAUAGUUACGCGAACCCUGUGUUCGUGGCCAACUUCUUAGAGGGACUAUGUACGUUUAGUACAUGGAAGUUUGAGGCAAUAACA